rnacentral:tRNA from 1 species
GGACUAUUAGCUCAGUAGGCAGAGCAAGCGUCUCAUAAACGCUUAGUCACAGGUUCAACUCCUGUAUAGUCCA